rnacentral:rRNA from 1 species
GAUGAACGCUGGCGGCGUGCCUAAUACAUGCAAGUCGAGCGAACGGACGAGAAGCUUGCUUCUCUGAUGUUAGCGGCGGACGGGUGAGUAACACGUGGAUAACCUACCUAUAAGACUGGGAUAACUUCGGGAAACCGGAGCUAAUACCGGAUGAUAUUUUGAACCGCAUGGUUCAAAAGUGAAAGACGGUCUUGCUGUCACUUAUAGAUGGAUCCGCGCUGCAUUAGCUAGUUGGUAAGGUAACGGCUUACCAAGGCAACGAUGCAUAGCCGACCUGAGAGGGUGAUCGGCCACACUGGAACUGAGACACGGUCCAGACUCCUACGGGAGGCAGCAGUAGGGAAUCUUCCGCAAUGGGCGAAAGCCUGACGGAGCAACGCCGCGUGAGUGAUGAAGGUCUUCGGAUCGUAAAACUCUGUUAUUAGGGAAGGACAUAUGUGUAAGUAACUGUGCACAUCUUGACGGUACCUAAUCAGAAAGCCACGGCUAACUACGUG